rnacentral:ncRNA from 2 species
GAUAAAAUCAGGUGAGAGAGUGCGCGCCCGUGGGCGCGGAAGAGGGAAUCAGGUGAGACGCCUGAGCGAUCCGGUCACUGUAUGCAGAAGAAUUUGCCCGAUGGCCAUUGCGUGGAUUACGUGAGAAGGCGGGCAAAUAAGGCGUGGAGGUUUGAAGUCCGCAGGAGAAAAAAGCGGAGGAAAGCGCCGGAAGCUGCGAGCCAGGAAACCUGCUCUUUUGCAGCGGCUGGA